GACGUAGGGCGCGAGCGUUGUCCGGAUUUAUUGGGCGUAAAGAGCUCGUAGGCGGCUCGUUGCGUCGGCUGUGAAAACCCACAGCUUAACUGUGGGCCUGCAGCCGAUACGGGCGAGCUAGAGUUCGGUAGGGGAGACUGGAAUUCCUGGUGUAGCGGUGAAAUGCGCAGAUAUCAGGAGGAACACCGGUGGCGAAGGCGGGUCUCUGGGCCGAUACUGACGCUGAGGAGCGAAAGCGUGGGGAGCGAACGGG
rnacentral:rRNA from 1 species